rnacentral:lncRNA from 1 species
CUGGUCAAAACAUAUUGAUACAACAGUAGCUAAGAUGGGUAGAAGUCUGUCCAUAAUAAAGCACUGCUCUGCCUUCUCUACAACACUAUCAACAAGGCAGGUACCACAGGCCCUAGUUUCUACCUUCUUAACAACACUAUCAACAAGGCAGGUCCUACAGGCCCUAGUUUCUACCUUCUUAACAACACUAUCAACAAGGCAGGUCCUACAGGCCCUAGUUUCUACCUUCUUAUUAACAACACUAUCAACAAGGCAGGUCCUACAGGCCCUAGUUUCUACCUUCUCAACAACACUAUCAACAAGGCAGGUCCUACAGGCCCUAGUUUCUACCUUCUUACCAGCACUAUCAACAAGGCAGGUCCUACAGGCCCUAGUUUCUACCUUCUUAACAACACUAUCAACAAGGCAGGUCCUACAGGCCCUAGUUUCUACCUUCUUAACAACACUAUCAACAAGGCAGGUCCUACAGGCCCUAGUUUUGUCGCACCUGGACUACUGUUCAGUCGUGUGAUCAGGUGCCACAAGGAGGAAAAUUGCCAUUGGCUCGCACAGCUCAGGCUAGCACACAGCUCAGACACCCAUCCAUACCCCACAAGACAUGCCACCAGAGGUCUGUUUAAACUACUGGCACACAGCUCAGACACCCAUCCAUACCCCACAAGACAUGCCACCAGAGGUCUGUUUAAACUGACUGGCACAUAGCUCAGACACCCAUCCAUACCCCACAAGACAUGCCACCAGAGGUCUGUUUAAACUGACUGGCACACAGCUCAGACACCCAUCCAUACCCCACAAGACAUGCCACCAGAGGUCUCUUCACAGUCCCCAAGUCCAGAACAGACUAUGGGAGGAGCACAGUACUACAUAGAGCCAUGACUACAUGAAACAAUAUUCCACAUCAGGUAACUGAUGCAGCAGGAGAAUCAGAUUUAAACAAAACAGAAUAAAAAUACAGCUUAUGGAACAACGGGGACUGAGAAGAGAGACAGACACAUGCAUAAACACACACACAAUAACAUACGCACUACUAUACAGAUAUGUGGUGGUAAAAUAUGUUGUGAAAUGUAUUAUAAUGUUUUUAAAAUUGUAUAACUAUGAUCGAAAAAGGCAAUCGCACGUCUGCGCUAUCUUUGUUCAGGUGCAUGGUUUCUCAUCUAAAAUUGUAUAAACUGCCUUAAUUCUGCUGGAGGAAGAGUAGCUGCUGCCUUGGCAGGAACUAAUGGGGAUCCAUAACAAACC